AGCUCAGCCACUGCACUGAGAACAUGGACUC
rnacentral:piRNA from 1 species